AGCAGCCGCGGUAAUUCCAGCUCCAAUAGCGUAUAUUAAAGUUGUUGCAGUUAAAAAGCUCGUAGUUGAAUUUCGGGAUUGACCCAUCGGUCGUGCCUUAAGAGGUAUGAACUGGUGUAGUCAAUUUCUCACCUUCUGGAGAACCGUGAUGUCCUUAAUUGGGUGCCACGAGGAACCAGGACCUUUACUUUGAAAAAAUUAGAGUGUUUAAAGCAGGCAUUUUUGCUUGAAUACAUUAGCAUGGAAUAAUAAAAUAGGACGGCAUGAUUCUAUUUUGUUGGUUUCUAGGAUCACCGUAAUGAUUAAUAGGGAUAGUCGGGGGCAUUAGUAUUCAAUUGUCAGAGGUGAAAUUCUUGGAUUUAUUGAAGACUAACUACUGCGAAAGCAUUUGCCAAGGAUGUUUUCAUUAAUCAAGAGCGAAAGUUAGGGGAUCGAAGACGAUCAGAUACCGUCGUAGUCUUAACCAUAAACUAUGCCGACUAGGAAUCAGACGAUGUUAAUUUUUAAUGACUCGUUUGGC
rnacentral:rRNA from 1 species